rnacentral:ncRNA from 1 species
GUGUCCUCGUCCGGAUUAAAAGGGAAUCGGGUGAGAAUCCCGAACAGUCCCGCUGCUGUGAAACUCCGAUAACAUCUUGAAACACCUCUUUGCCACUGGCUUAUGUCCGGGAAGGCUUCACGAUGGGAGUAAGUCAGAAGACCUGCCGUAUAUUCA